GGGCUGGCCGCAACGCGCGCUGCGCUGGCUGAACAUCGUCGGGCCACCGCACUGGCUGCGCAGGCUGACUGCCGCGCCGGUGGCCAGGUCUGGCGGCGCGCCGGAGCAGCGCAGGCAGGCUGCGGCAAGCGGCUGCAACCAUAGGCGGCGGCGCAACAGCGGCGAGACGGGGCUGGGAAGUGCCGCCAGCCAUCAGGCGGGUGUAGCGGCCCUCGCCGGAGUGAUGCGCACGACCAUGCCUGUGGGGGCGGGGCACGGUGGCCACUGCGCACGUAGGAAGGGGAGGGCGCACCGUUACGCGCCAUGGCUGGCUACAGGCGAAGGAAACACAGAAACAAAGAACGGGAAAGUAGAAUGGAUGAAAAAUGCUCACUCGCUCGUCGGAGAAGGACUCGUCCACGUCGUGGAGCAACGCGCCGGCAUGAUGGUGGUGGGGGUCAACGACGUAGAUGAAGAACCAGUACAGAAUUUAUGAGGAGAACGCGGUUGCGAUGGGGCUCGACGAGGAUGAAGGAGACGUCGAAGCAAGGGCUGGUAGUGACGAUCGUUGAGGCUCUAUUGUCGGAGAAGCAGUUUUGAGGGCGGCAUGGGCUUUGGAGUAGCUAGAUUAAGGUUAGAUUUAUCUAUAUCUAGAAUUUAAUAAUUUCAUAUUAAUUAUAGAAAAUUUAGAUUUAGCGUACAGUUAAAAAAUGCUCUGGAAGCCUUAAAGAAAUUUGGGCAAAAGUUAUGCAGGUAUUUUAGAACCUGGGAAACUCAAAUAAAAUAUUUG
rnacentral:misc_RNA from 1 species